GCAUGACCUGCAACAAUCAAAGACGCACAUAACACUUGAUUUUACUUUGUUUUUUUUCUUUUAGAUCAGUUUCGUUUUUUCUUUUUUAGAUCUGCAAUCAAAUCCUUCUAUUCCUGGUGGCUAGUCCUUCCUUCUUCAGAUGGCGGCUCUGUCGGAGGCGGGAGCGUUGGAAGUCGGAGCCACGAGUGGCGGUGGCUGCCGAUCUGUGGACGACGCUGCUGUGGCUGGUCUGUCGGUACUGUUGAAGCUGGGUCGGCCGAGAGAGGGGAGGACGCUGGAGGUGGCUGAGAAAGCAGAGGACGAAGGAGCGGCGCUGCUGUGGUGGACGGCGCUGCUUCGCCGUUGCUGUUGAGGGAGGAGAAGGCUGGUCUCCGUCCGGUUCGCCUUUUGCUCCUGCAACUGAGAAGGUAAAGGGGUUGUUGUGGUCCAAAGGCUAAAGGAAAAUGGGGGAAAGAGGAGUGAAAUUAAGGGCUGUGUCGAUGGCUCUGUGUUGAUGAAUGGUGGCGGCUUCUUCGUGGGCUGAGUUUGGCUGGCGAGAAGAAGGAGAACCGUGGGGAGCUCCAGUGAAGAAGAAGAAGAGAAAAGCUUAAGAGGGCGGUCCGGUGAGGAGAAACAAUUCAAACCCCGGGGAGGCGGCUGUGUUUUGUUUUUUUCAAAGAGAGGAGGGGGCUGCAGCUCCACAAGAAAAUCC
rnacentral:lncRNA from 1 species